CGGGUUAUAGCAUUAUUAAAUGCCACUUAUUUACAUUAAGAAAAAAACUUUCGUUUAACCUGU
rnacentral:tRNA from 1 species